rnacentral:rRNA from 1 species
AAGUCGAGCGAGGUACUUGUACCUAGCGGCAGACGGGUGCGUACAUGUGGGAAUCUGCCUUUUGGUUCGGAACAACAUGGGGAAACCUGUGCUAAUACCGGAUAAGUCCUCACGGAGAAAGAUUUAUCGCCGAAAGAUGAGCCCGCACUAGAUUAGCUUGUUGGUAAGGUAAAAGCUUACCAAGGCAACGAUCUAUAGCUGAUUUGAGAGGAUGAUCAGCCACACUGGGACUGAGACACGGCCCAGACUCCUACGGGAGGCAGCAGUGGGGAAUCUUGCACAAUGGAGGAAACUCUGAUGCAGCGAUGCCGCGUGAGUGAAGAAGGCCUUUGGGUUGUAAAGCUCUUUUGUCGGGAAAGAUAAUGACUGUACCCGAAGAAUAAGGUCCGGCUAACUUCGUGCCAGCAGCCGCGGUAAUACGAAGGGACCUAGCGUAAUUCGGAAUUACUGGGCGUAAAGCGCGCGUAGGCGGUUAAGUAAGUUAAUUGUGAAAGCC